rnacentral:rRNA from 1 species
UGAACUUUUCUCAAGGUUGACCUCGGAUCAGGUAGGGAUACCCGCUGAACUUAAGCAUAUCAAUAAG